UACAGAGGGGGCAAGCGUUGUUCGGAAUUACUGGGCGCAAAGGGCGCGUAGGCGGCCUGCUAAGUCGAACGUGAAAUCCCUGGGCUCAACCCAGGAACUGCGUCCGAUACUGGUUGGCUUGAAUCCGGGAGAGGGAUGCGGAAUUCCAGGUGUAGCGGUGAAAUGCGUAGAUAUCUGGAGGAACACCGGUGGCGAAGGCGGCAUCCUGGACCGGCAUUGACGCUGAGGCGCGAAAGCCAGGGGAGCAAACGGG
rnacentral:rRNA from 1 species